UUGUUCUUAGGGGUAGAGCAGGGUUGUGAAGUGCACAGUGGCCUGGAAAGGUGGUGGUGGGUUUCAGUGCAGAUUCAGGAUGUGAGGACUGUGACACACAUUUGAACACAAUGACAUUUGUGACCAUGCCGCCUUCUGAGAUUGCUCAGGUGGCUUUGCUGGCACAGCUGUGCCCUCUGCAGAGAAGCCUGCAUGUCAUCUGAACCUCAGCCCCUGUGUGCAGGGGAGAGGGAGAGAGCUGUGCUAAGUGUUUGGCGCCCACUUAUCCAAUCCGCUCAGUGUGAAGGGCACGAUUCAAUAAAGCUCCUGUCACUUCUGCUUGUGGCUGUGCAGGAGCCAAAAAAUUGAUUUCAGGAUCAGACACCUUAAUCAGGGCAGGAGUGAGGCAUCUUCUCUGGCAGAGAGAAAAUGGGGCUUGCAUUGAAUUUGGCCUAAAGACACCACACAUGGCUGUCGUCUCUGGACAUCACUGAGCCUGGGUGCUGCCGUGAAGGGUGGAGAGCAGCCUUCCUGGCCUGGACUGUGUUCCCCGCCCACCUGUGCAGGCGCCAGACAGUGGAGUCAGGCUGCAGCUCCUGGCUCCAGGAGAGGAGAGGUUUCUGUUAAUGGACACAGGGAAAUAAUAUGUGAGA
rnacentral:lncRNA from 1 species